CCUACGGGAGGCAGUAGUGAGGAAUAUUGGUCAAUGGGAGAGAUCCUGAACCAGCCAAGCCGCGUGAGGGAAGACGGCCCUAUGGGUUGUAAACCUCUUUUGUCGGAGAACAAAACCCGGGACGUGUCCCGGACUGCGUGUAUCCGAAGAAAAAGCAUCGGCUAACUCCGUGCCAGCAGCCGCGGUAAUACGGAGGAUGCGAGCGUUAUCCGGAUUUAUUGGGUUUAAAGGGUGCGUAGGCGGUCCGUUAAGUCAGCGGUAAAAUUGCGGGGCUCAACCCCGUCGAGCCGUUGAAACUGGCAGUCUUGAGUACAGUAGAGGUGGGCGGAAUUCGUGGUGUAGCGGUGAAAUGCUUAGAUAUCACGAAGAACUCCGAUUGCGAAGGCAGCUCACUGGACUGCAACUGACACUGAGGCUCGAAAGUGUGGGUAUCAAACAGGAUUAGAUACCCUAGUAGUC
rnacentral:rRNA from 1 species